AUUGAACGCUGGCGGCAUGCCUUACACAUGCAAGUCGAACGGCAGCACGGGGGCAACCCUGGUGGCGAGUGGCGAACGGGUGAGUAAUGCAUCGGAACGUACCCGGAAGUGGGGGAUAACGUAGCGAAAGUUACGCUAAUACCGCAUAUUCUGUGAGCAGGAAAGCAGGGGAUCGCAAGACCUUGCGCUUUCGGAGCGGCCGAUGUCGGAUUAGCUAGUUGGUGGGGUAAAAGCCUACCAAGGCGACGAUCCGUAGCUGGUCUUAGAGGAUGAUCAGCCACACUGGGGCUGAGACACGGCCCAGACUCCUACGGGAGGCAGCAGUGGGGAAUUUUGGACAAUGGGGGCAACCCUGAUCCAGCCAUGCCGCGUGAGUGAAGAAGGCCUUCGGGUUGUAAAGCUCUUUCGGACAGAAAGAAAUCGCAUCGGCUAAUACUCGAUGUGGAUGACGGUACUGUCAUAAGAAGCACCGGCUAACUACGUGCCAGCCGCCGCAGUAACAC
rnacentral:rRNA from 1 species